rnacentral:rRNA from 1 species
UACGUAGGGUGCGAGCGUUAAUCGGAAUUACUGGGCGUAAAGCGUGCGCAGGCGGUGAUGUAAGACAGGUGUGAAAUCCCCGGGCUUAACCUGGGAACUGCAUUUGUGACUGCAUUGCUGGAGUGCGGCAGAGGGGGAUGGAAUUCCGCGUGUAGCAGUGAAAUGCGUAGAGAUGUGGAGGAACACCGAUGGCGAAGGCAGCCUUCUGGGCCAACACUGACGCUCAUGCACGAAAGCGUGGGGAGCAAACAGG